ensembl:lncRNA
CCCCAGGGCACUCUGGCCUGUUGGAACUGUGAAAUCUGUCCAGGUCGGAGCUGAUAAUAAAGUAAGAGCUGCAGAAAUCCAGAUCAAAGACAGAACCUACAUCAGACCUGUUGUCAGAUUAAUUAAGCUCCCUUCACUUCCUGAAUGACUGUGAGUACUGGCCCAAGAUACAAAUCUGCAAGCACAUUUGGGGGCGGCUGUACUAAAAUGACGGCCAGUUAUUUAAUGUUCAUACAGUUCUAGUAUAUGUGUAAUGGUUAAUCGCUGUUGUUAUUUAGUCAGGCGUCAGUCACACGCCUAUUGUUAGGACCCAGAAGUCAAAAAAGGACCCGGACGCUGACGCAGUUUCAGGGCAGAUAUGAUCGCUAUUAUUAUUACUAACGUGAGACGAUUCUAACGGUGAUGAUAAUGCCAGUUCUCCCGCAAUAUUGAGUUAUCGCAUGUGUGCGUGCAUCAAAGAAGCAUCCAUUGCUGAGACACUGAUGCAGUGACACAUUUCUACAAACCUGAUGAAGAAACACACUCCUCUACACCUCGGAUGACCUGAGGAUGUUCACUGAUGGACUGGAGUGCUGUGGAUUACUUGUGGAUUAUCAGCUGUUUGGACACUCAUUCACUGCAAAAUUGUCAUUUUUGGAUGAACUGUCGCUUUAAGAAAGGUUAGCUCUUGAUGAGCCGGUGUUUAAUUAGAGCAGGGAUCUCCAACCCUGCUCCUGGAGAGCUAACGUCCUGCAGACUUCAGUUCCAACCCUACUCCAACACACCUGUCUGUAAUUAUCAAGUAGCCCUGAACACCUUGAUUAGCUGCUUCAGGUGUGUUUGAUUGGGGUUGGAGCUGAAAUCUGCAGGACAGUAGCUCUCCAGGAGCAGGGUUGGAGACCCCUGAAUUAGAGUUUAGAGUUCUGAUUGCUUGAUUGACAGCGCUGGAUUGUGAAGCUUCUUUAGCCGUUCAAUCAUAAGAUGAAGGAUUGCGUCUGAUUAUCUGAGGUCAGUGUCAAAUCUGACCCCGCGGCGUCCUUGACACGGUCGAACUUCAACAUUGAUAAUAAUCAGAGAUGUUUCUUGAGCAGCAAAUCAUCAUAUUAUUAUGAUUUCUGAAGAUCAUGUGACACUGAAGACUGGAGUUAUGAUGCUGAAAAUACAGCUGCGCAUCACAGAAAUAAAUUACACUUUAACAGAUAUUCACAUAGAAAACAGCUGUUUUAAAUUAUAAUAAUAUUUCACAAUUUUUACUGUAUUUUUGAUCAAAUAAAAGCAGCCUUGGUGAGCAGAAGAGACUCUUUCAGAAACAUUAAAAAAACUUAGUUGAGAUUUGCCAUCACAGGAAUAAAUUACAUUUAAAAAAAUAUUCCAACAGAAAAGUUACUUUACAAGAUUUCACAAUAUUACUUUUUUCACUGUAUUUAUAUGCAUCCCUUUUUAAAUCUUACUGACCCCAAAGUUUGAAUGGUAGUGUAAAUUCUUCUCAUUUGUAAGUCGCUUUGGAUAAAAGCGUCUGCUAAAUGAUUAAAUGUACAUGUAAAUAAAUAAAUAAACACUGAGCUCUUAAAUAUUUCUGUGAUAAACACUCAUGAACAACUGGAAGUGUGGGAAGAGCUCGGUCACGUUUGUCUGUCGUUCAGGUGAAACACUUUCCUCUUCUCCUGUUGGAUCUCGUGGUUCUGAUGAUGAAGUCAGAGAUCACUGCAGUGCCAUCACGCAGAGUGACGUUAUAUUUAUGAAGAUCGUGUGAGUGCAGAUGAUGCUCGGCUGGUUUGUAGCUCAGUGUUUUCUCUCAGUCUGGUCUGAAGCAUCAGAAGUGCGGCAGAGGAACUCAUGAGAUUUCCAUCGUUAUAAAAACAGCGUGGACACAUUAUUAUCUUUGAAUCACACGUGAAGGAACAAGGAAGAUAAAAGUAUCUCUGUAAAAGAUCAGACCUGUGAACACAGCAGAGACUGUAUUUCACUCCCUUUGGUUCAGAUAUUAUUUUUUUUAAAGUAGUAUUUAUAUGUAAUAUUUUUAUAUUAAAUUAUAUUGUUACAUAUUAUAUUAUACCAUUCCAAAAUGUUGAAUAAUUAAUUUUUUUAAAGUCUCUUCUGCUCACCAAGGCAAUAUUUAUUUGAUCAAAAAUACUGUAAAAACUGUAAUAUUGUAGACAAAGUACACUUUUUUUUAAAAGCUUUGUUUUAAUAUAUUUUAAAAUGUAAUUUAUUCCUAUUAUGCAAACUGGAUUUUG